rnacentral:rRNA from 1 species
CUGGCGGCAGGCUUAACACAUGCAAGUCGAACGGUAACAUGAGUGCUUGCACUUGAUGACGAGUGGCGGACGGGUGAGUAAUGUAUGGGGAUCUGCCGAAUGGAUUGGGACAACAGUUGGAAACGACUGCUAAUACCGAAUAAUGUCGCGAGACCAAAGGGUGCUUACGGGCACUUGCCAUUUGAUGAACCCAUAUGAGAUUAGCUAGUUGGUGGGGUAAAGGCUCACCAAGGCGACGAUCUCUAGCUGGUCUGAGAGGAUGACCAGCCACACUGGAACUGAGACACGGUCCAGACUCCUACGGGAGGCAGCAGUGGGGAAUAUUGCACAAUGGGGGAAACCCUGAUGCAGCCAUGCCGCGUGUAUGAAGAAGGCCUUAGGGUUGUAAAGUACUUUCGGUGAUGAGGAAGUUAUGUGUGGGAUAAGCACAUAUAAUUGACGUUAGUUACAGAAGAAGCACCGGCUAACUCCGUG